rnacentral:rRNA from 1 species
AUGCAGGAUCAUCUUCGAUAUGGAAAUGAUGAGAUGUUGGAGAUCUUGGAGUAUGGCUACCAAGCUGUUGACCUGAAGAAUCUUACUCCAAGAGAGGUAUAUGACAAGAAUCUCAACGACACAACAACCAUGUGCAUAAGAAGAGGUAUGACUGACAAGCAAAGGAGACCAUACAUACAUAUCACAAGUGCCAAGGAAUUAUGGGAUAGCAUUGUGAGGACCAAGAUCGGUACCUCCACACUCCGGCUUGCUCAAUAUGAAAUUGCCAAGGGUCAAUUGCAAAACUUUUGUAUGGAGAAAGGAAAGAAGCUCACUAUGUUUCGUAUGCUUAUGGAGAUGGUGAGUAAGCACACCAUCACCAUUAAGGAACUCGAAACCCUCGUCACCGAGGAAAAGGAAAAAUAUGAAAUCCUUGAGCGGAAAGUCCAAUAUGAGGAAGCUAAUGACUCUUGCAAAGAGUUGAUGAAUGAUAAAAGUAAGCUUGUGAAGUCUCAUGCUUCUCUCUCUAAGUAUUGUGAGCUCCUAUCCGUGUCCCUCAAGACUAAGGAAGAAGAGCACACCCUUCUUACAAAGAUUUUUGAGACGCUCAAGCUUACUUAUCUUGAAACUCUAGCCAAGGCUUACUCUUAUCCUAUUAUCAAUGUUGAUGCUUGUACUACUAACUCUAGUAGUGAUCUAGCCUCAAGGCUCAAAUCGAGAAAGGUCACAUGA